UGCAGUCGAACGGCAGCGCGGGCUUCGGCCUGGCGGCGAGUGGCGAACGGGUGAGUAAUGCAUCGGAACGUACCCAGUCGUGGGGGAUAACACAUCGAAAGAUGUGCUAAUACCGCAUACGUCCUGAGGGAGAAAGCGGGGGACCUUCGGGCCUCGCGCGAUUGGAGCGGCCGAUGUCAGAUUAGCUAGUAGGUGGGGUAAAGGCCCACCUAGGCGACGAUCUGUAGCGGGUCUGAGAGGAUGAUCCGCCACACUGGGACUGAGACACGGCCCAGACUCCUACGGGAGGCAGCAGUGGGGAAUUUUGGACAAUGGGGGCAACCCUGAUCCAGCCAUGCCGCGUGAGUGAAGAAGGCCUUCGGGUUGUAAAGCUCUUUCGGCCGGGAAGAAAUCGCACCUUUUAAUAGAGGGUGUGGAUGACGGUACCGGACUAAGAAGCACCGGCUAACUACGUGCCAGCAGCCGCGGUAAUACGUAGGGUGCGAGCGUUAAUCGGAAUUACUGGGCGUAAAGCGUGCGCAGGCGGUUUGCCAAGACAGGCGUGAAAUCCCCGGGCUUAACCUGGGAACUGCGCUUGUGACUGGCAGGCUAGAGUACGGCAGAUGGGGGUGGAAUUCC
rnacentral:rRNA from 1 species